rnacentral:rRNA from 1 species
UACGGAGGGUGCGAGCGUUAAUCGGAAUUACUGGGCGUAAAGCGCAUGCAGGCGGUUAAUUAAGUCAGAUGUGAAAUCCCCGAGCUCAACUUGGGAGUGUCAUUUGAAACUGGUUAACUAGAGUAUUGUAGAGGGGGGUAGAAUUUCAGGUGUAGCGGUGAAAUGCGUAGAGAUCUGAAGGAAUACCGGUGGCGAAGGCG